GAUCAAGAACGUAGCGAAAUGCGAUAAGUAGUGUGAAUUGCAGAAUUCAGUGAAUCAUCGAAUCUUUGAACGCACAUUGCGCCCUUUGGUAUUCCAAAGGGCAUGCCUGUUCGAGCGUCAUUUGUACCCUCAAGCUUUGCUUGGUGUUGGGCGUCUUGUCUCUAGCUUUGCUGGAGACUCGCCUUAAAGUAAUUGGCAGCCGGCCUACUGGUUUCGGAGCGCAGCACAAGUCGCACUCUCUAUCAGCAAAGGUCUAGCAUCCAUUAAGCCUUUUUUUCAACUUUUGACCUCGGAUCAGGUAGGGAUACCCGCUGAACUUAAGCAUAUCAAUAAGCGGAGGA
rnacentral:misc_RNA from 1 species